rnacentral:rRNA from 1 species
CCUACGGGAGGCAGCAGUGGGGAAUAUUGGACAAUGGGCGAAAGCCUGAUCCAGCCAUGCCGCGUGUGUGAAGAAGGUCUUCGGAUUGUAAAGCACUUUAAGUUGGGAGGAAGGGCAGUAAGCGAAUACCUUGCUGUUUUGACGUUACCGACAGAAUAAGCACCGGCUAACUCUGUGCCAGCAGCCGCGGUAAUACAGAGGGUGCAAGCGUUAAUCGGAAUUACUGGGCGUAAAGCGCGCGUAGGUGGUUUGUUAAGUUGAAUGUGAAAUCCCCGGGCUCAACCUGGGAACUGCAUCCAAAACUGGCAAGCUAGAGUAGGGCAGAGGGUGGUGGAAUUUCCUGUGUAGCGGUGAAAUGCGUAGAUAUAGGAAGGAACACCAGUGGCGAAGGCGACCACCGUGGGGCUCAUACUGACACUGAGGUGCGAAAGCGUGGGGAGCAAACAGGAUUAGAUACCCGUGGUAGUCCACGCCGUAAACGAUGUACAACUAGCCGUAGGAACGUCCUUGNGUGUUUAGUGGCGC